UUCAUUUUUAAUGAGCCAAAAAGAAUUCACGUAACAGCCUCUGUUUAUCAAUCUGCGUUUUAGCGAAUUAUUGCGUGCUUUUAUUACUGUUAGAGUUAUAUGUCUCUGAAAAAUGACUUCAAGAAAGUUUUUUGUUGGUGUGGAGGCGGCUUUGGAGGAGUUUGAUCGGAUGUCCGACACUGAAACUUGCAGCGAUGCUAGCUAGCUUUGACUCGGUCAGAGAAGCUGCUUACAAACUGGGAGAAGACCCUUAUUUUGAUUGUAGCAUCCAGUGGUGAAGAAUGGGAGCCAGCAAGUCAGGAUACUUAUUUUGUGUGUGUGUGUGUGUGUGUGUGUGUGUGUGUGUGUGUGUGUGUGUGU